rnacentral:rRNA from 1 species
CCUACGGGCGGCUGCAGUGAGGAAUAUUGGUCAAUGGCCGGAAGGCUGAACCAGCCAAGCCGCGUGAAGGACGAAGGUGCCAAGCAUUGUAAACUUCUUUUGUCAAGGGACAAAAUCAGGCGCGAGAGCCGGACCGAGGGUACUUGAAGAAAAAGCAUCGGCUAACUCCGUGCCAGCAGCCGCGGUAAUACGGAGGAUGCGAGCGUUAUCCGGAUUUAUUGGGGUUAAAGGGUGCGUAGGCGGACUGUUAAGUCAGCGGUAAAAGCCCGGGGCUCACCCCCGGCGAGCCGUUGAAACUGGCUGUCUUGAGCUGUCGAGAGGUAUGCGGAAUGCGCCGUGUAGCGGU